UACAGAGGGUGCGAGCGUUGUUCGGAAUUAUUGGGCGUAAAGGGCGCGUAGGCGGCGCCACAAGUCACUUGUGAAAACUCUGGGCUCAACUCAGAGCCUGCAAGCGAAACUGUGGUGCUGGAGUAUGGGAGAGGUGCGUGGAAUUCCCGGUGUAGCGGUGAAAUGCGUAGAUAUCAAGAGGAACACCUGCGGCGAAGGCGGGUUGCUGGGCCGACACUGACGCUGAUGCGCGAAAGCUAGGGGAGCGAACGGG
rnacentral:rRNA from 1 species